rnacentral:tRNA from 1 species
GCGGACAUAGCUCAGUUGGUAGAGCGUCAGUUUUCCAAACUGAAUGUCGUCGGUUCGAACCAGUCUGUCCGCUCCA